UACGGAGGGGGCUAGCGUUGUUCGGAAUUACUGGGCGUAAAGCGCACGUAGGCGGCUUUGUAAGUUAGAGGUGAAAGCCCGGAGCUCAACUCCGGAAUUGCCUUUAAGACUGCAUCGCUAGAAUUGUGGAGAGGUAAGUGGAAUUCCGAGUGUAGAGGUGAAAAUUCGUAGAUAUUCGGAAGAACACCAGUGGCGAAGGCGACUUACUGGACACAUAUUGACGCUGAGGUGCGAAAGCGUGGGGAGCAAACAGG
rnacentral:rRNA from 1 species